GAUGAACGCUGGCGGCGUGCCUAAUACAUGCAAGUCGAGCGAACGGACGCGACGCUUGCUUCUCUGAUGUUAGCGGCGGACGUGUGAGUAACACGUGGAUACCCUCCCUAUAAGACUGGGAUCACUUCGGGAAACCGUCUCUAAUACCGGAUAAUCUUUUGCUCCACAUGGUUCAAUAGUGAAAGACGGUCUUGCUGUCACUUCUCGCUGCAUACGCGCUUCAUUAGCUGGUUGUUACGGUAACGGCUUACCAAGGCAACGAUGCAUAGCCGACCUGAGAGGGGGAUAGGCCACACGGGAAGGGAGACAGGGUCAAGACGACUAAGGGAGGGAGCAGUAGGGAAUCGGACGCAGAGGGCGAAAGCAUGACGGAGCAAGGGGGCGUGAGUGAUGAAGGUCUUCGGAGCGUAAAACUCUGUUAUGAGGGAAGAACAGAUGUGGAAGGAAAUGUGCACAGAGUGACGGUACCGAAUCAGAAAGCCACGGCUAACUACGUG
rnacentral:rRNA from 1 species